AGAGUAAGUCAGCCUAAUCUAACGAAUCUUUGGAAUCUCGUUAGAGCGGAGGAACCACCCUGUGGGGCGAAUCUUGGGAAAGUUGAAGGUAAAAAGCAUCCUCAUUACUUCCUAAGAGGGGCAUCUCUCAGCCCUAGCCCGUCAGCUAACUUCGUAGGCAUUGAGGGAGACUGA
rnacentral:sRNA from 2 species